UGAUGGCGGCCGUGACAUUGGACGAGUCCGGGGGCGGCCUCCAGACGCCCGGGGGAGCGCUCAGCCUCGUCUGCAAGGCCUCCGGGUUCACCUUCAGCAGUUACGCCAUGAACUGGGUGCGACAGGCGCCCGGCAAGGGGCUGGAGUGGGUCGCUGGUAUUGGCAGCACUGGUAGUAGCACAGGAUAUGGGCCGGCGGUGCAGGGCCGUGCCACCAUCUCGAGGGACAACGGGCAGAGCACAGUGAGGCUGCAGCUGAACAACCUCAGGGCUGAGGACACCGGCACCUACUACUGCGCCAAAGCUGCUGGUGGUUGUACUUACGGUUAUAGUUGUGCUGCUGGUGGUGUUGGUCAGCACUCUGGUUGGAUCGUCGCCACUUCUCUUUCCAUGUCUCAGGCCCAGCCACGUGUGGGGACCCAGCUCUGA